rnacentral:rRNA from 1 species
GUGUCAGCAGCCGCGGUAAUACGUAAGGGGCAAGCGUUGUCCGGAAUCACUGGGCGUAAAGCGCACGUAGGCGGUUUGCCAAGUUGGGGGUGUAAGCUCUGGGCCUAACCCAGAAAUUGCCUCCAAAACUAGCAUACUUGAGUAUUAGAGGGGAAGCUGGAAUUCACGGUGUAGCGGUGAAAUGCGUAGAUAUCGUGGAGAACACCCGUGGCGAAGGCGGGCUUCUGGCUAAUUACUGACGCUGAGGUGCGAAAGCUAGGGGAGCGAACGGGAUUAGAUACCCCUGUAGUCC